GGCUCAGAUGAGAGGUCAAGGAACUUGCAGUCCUACAGAAAUAGGGCAAGGCGUAGCUGGGUGCGAACACAGGAAGUUGCCAAGGAGAAACAAGAGGCCAAAAGGCACAUCUGCUCCUCAGACACAGGGCCAGCUGUCCUUGUCGGAAAUGAAAGUCGGACAAGCCAGAUAAGCAGAAAGGAAGUGAGAUCCCACCGGAGAGCAAUCAGUCAAAACGGACAAGAGGGCAAGGAGCUAAACGCGGGAGAAGCUUAGCCACGGAUCACAGGGUUUACCAUCACACCACGUUCUUCAGGUCCAGAGGAACAAGACGACAAGAAACAUUGCCAGCUGCCUCCUGAGACAGAUGUCAGGUCUGUAGGAGGUGACAGGGCUGGGUCUCUGGACAGCAGCUUUCUGAAGAGACAGUGCCAACAGAGAAGAGAAAUCCUGGUGAGUCCAGCAUCAGGAAAACAAGAACGGAGGAAGAUGGUAGGCAAGAUUGGGCCAACUCCCAACACCUCAGCCGCCCCUAGCUUGCUGGAGAUGACGAGAAUAAGAAGAAAUCAAAUUAAACAGCAGCGCUAUCAAAAUGUCUUCUCUUCCUCCUCUUCAUGAUCAUCAUCAUCGUCAUCAUCAUCAUCAUCAUCAUCACCACCACCAUCACAAUCAUUGCUAAAUCAGAAUCAAGAAUCUAGGAUAAAGAAGAAAAGGCCCCAACUGUUUCUUGAGGAGCAGGACCACCUUCCAAGUGACCUCUAAAUAUCUUCUUUUUGUAUUAAUGCUUUCCCUGCACAUGUGUAUGUGCCUGGUGCAGACACCAGAAGACAGAAGAGAACACAGGUGUUGGACGCUGAACCCAGAGACUCUACACAAGCAGCAAGUGCUCUUAACCAGGGAACCAUCUCUCCAGAUUCACCAAUUUGUUUUUUGAGACUGAUAUUUAUCUUACUGUGUUAACGAUGAACCUCAUAAAUUUAUUUUAAAAUGAAUUUAAAAUAUGAUCCUGCAGCUGAGAAGCUCUAAGAACAAGUGUGGGCAAGGCUGAGUUCCUUCUGGGGUUCUGAGAUAAAAGCGAUUUUCCUGCCUUUCUAACUUGUAGGGCCCGGCACUCCUUGGCAGGUGAUCCCUUCCUCUUUGUAUUCAAAGCCAGCAACACAUUGCCCUAACACUUGGUCCCUCCUCCUGUCUUACCACACUGGGGACAUCUCUGUCCCCAUUUUUAAGGGCCUACAGGAAAAGAUAAGCCUCCGACUUACACGGGGCAGUCUCCAUCUCAGAGUAUGAACCGUCACCAAAUGUGUAGUCUCUUACCACACAGCUGAAUGUAUGCAGUUUCUGAGAAUUAACGCAGCGACAUCUUUGGGGGCUAACCCCCUAGAUUAGCCAGCCACAAAAAGGAAACUAGGAUUUGGGGCCUGGAAUCAAACUCAUACGCGUCUGUCCCACAGUGCACGUUCCUCCCAGUUUCCUCUCUCUUUCAACAGCAGCAUCUCAAGUCCAGCCUCCGUUGCUGCGGCUGCGCAGUACAAUGCUUCCGGACACGUUCACGCACAAGGGAGACAGACCCUAUUCGGCACUCAUAUUUGCCAAAUUCUACUGACAGCAUCUCUUAGACAUCCCAAAUUACUCAUUUUUUCCCAAUGGGCCGUUAUACCCUUAGGCUUACAGUAGCUUCUAGACUGGUCCAGAAUCCACCUCCCAUCCCAGCUGCAGGACUCAGACUUUACACAGCGGGCCUGUCCUUGCUAUUCUUGUAGUCGUUCACCUUCUGAGUCUCGUAGAUUACCAACAUAGGCUGAUCUUGGCCAGCAAGUCUCCACAGUGGCGAGUCGGGCACCAAGCUUCCCACUGUCCUUCCUAUCCCAGCCCUAGGGGUCCUCUCGGCUCCACCGUGCUCGCCACCCUCACCCUGCCCUCGCCACCCUCACCCUGCCCUGAGCGUUCUUAUGUAGUUCACUUACUGCUCCUUCUGACUAAACCUCUAGCGUCUUAGCCUCAUGUGACCUUUUCGCCACUUUCCCCCACUAAUCGCGUCCACACAUCAGCCUGUCAGCUCUGCCUCCGUGAGGUCGAUGAGCCCGCAGCAUCUCUCAGAGGUCAGGUCACCAUUCCACUCUACAUGUCUUGGCAGGCUUGAUGAGUGUCCUUCCCAACACACCAAGUUCAAAGCAAAGCAGAUUCUCCUGACUUUGUCUCUCCUUGUCAUCCUAGCACUCAGCCUAGGGCCUGUCAUGCACAGGCGCUCAGGAACACAAAACACUGGUUUAGUAAAAGUUGGAUGAAUGAGGUUUUAAUUCUCAGAAUCAUUUGCAAAGGAAGCUAUUAUCCUCAUCUUGUCAACGAGAAUGUUGAAACAGGCGAGGAAUGUUAAACUCACUGUCGCACCCUAGUCCCUUCAGCUCCCUUAAUAAAAAUAUCUUCAUCUAGGAGACCCCUAGAAUCUAGGUGGCUUAUAACAGACUCUUGUCAGAGUGCUGGAGGCUGAGAAGCCUCACAGUAGGCCUCAGAGUUUCAGUGUCUGCUGUUCCUUCUUGCUUCCAUUGGUAACCACAUGGGUAGAAGGAACAUGGUAGUUCU